rnacentral:rRNA from 1 species
UACGUAGGGUGCAAGCGUUGUCCGGAAUUAUUGGGCGUAAAGAGCUCGUAGGCGGCUUGUCGCGUCGGCUGUGAAAACCUGGGGCUCAACCCCGGGCCUGCAGCCGAUACGGGCAAGCGUAGAAUUCGGUAGGGGAGGACUGGAAUUCCUGGUGUAGCGGUGAAAUGCGCAGAUAUCAGGAGGAACACCGGUGGCGAAGGCGGGUCUCUGGGCCGAUAUUGACGCUGAGGAGCGAAAGCGUGGGGAGCGAACAGG